CCUACGGGUGGCAGCAGUGGGGAAUAUUGCACAAUGGGGGAAACCCUGAUGCAGCAACGCCGCGUGGGUGAAGGAGCGUUUCGGCUCGUAAAGUCCUGUCAGCGGGGAGGAAGAAAGACGGUACCCGACCAAGAAGCCCCGGCGAACUACGUGCCAGCAGCCGCGGUAAUACGGAGGGGGCGAGCGUUAUCCGGAAUUACUGGGUGUAAAGUGAGCGUAGACGGCGUGGUAAGCCUGAAGUGGAAGCCCGCGGCCAAACCGCGGAACUGCUUUGGGGACUGUUUUGCUGGAGUAUGGUAGGGGUAAGCAGAAUUCCUGGUGUAGCGGUGAAAUGCGUAGAGAUCAGGAGGAAUACCGGUGGCGAAGGCGGCUUACUGGACCAUAACUGACGUUGAGGCUCGAAAGCGUGGGGAGCGAACAGGAUUAGAUACCCUUGUAGUC
rnacentral:rRNA from 1 species